ensembl:lncRNA
GCCACAUGCACAAUUUAUUUAGUUUUCUCUGUUAGUGCACCCUUCAACGCCACAUCAUUUUCACACACCCACAUACACACUACUGAUAUUACAGACAAGACACACCUCAUACCCGCAGGUAUUAUUUGUUUGACUUACUUUCAGUUGUAAUAAAUUAUUUGGGUUAUUUUGGAAAGCGGACUCCUCCUGUUCUUUUGUCAUGGCCAUUGAGCCGGGUUAUGACAAAAUGGGGGCUCGUCCAGCUGUUUUGUUCCCGUUUUGGUUGCAAUGUGGACUCGGCGUGGAUCCUCGGCUGCAGUUUGUUUACGCAGGUAGCAGGAGAGUCAGGGAAACCGAACCAGUCUGUGAAGCCUGUUCCUCUGCAACCGAUACCAGCCUGAUGUACCAAAGCAUGUUAUCCUGCUGCGUAUCUGCUGAGGUCCAUUACAGCUAAAUCUGUGGUAAAGGUGUGUGAUGGCCCGAUCUGCAACUUGGACCAUGCAGUGUUAGUAUCGUUUCUUUUCAUUUCAAACAAAUGGUCACCCACACAGUUUUGGUUAAAUGUUUAUUUAGCUUCUUUGAUUUACAUUGUGAUGGUGUUACCAAUUUGAGUGGACGCAUUUUGGUUACAUUUAGUCAUGAGUUCAUCAAAUUGGCUUAAAUUAUUAAUUCUUUGUACCUUUGUCUCUGUUGCUCCACAUGCUGCUGAGGUCCUGGCGAAAGGGAGAGGUGGAGUUUAAGAUGGCCUUUUAUGCUGGCAGUCAGGAACUGGAAGGUGCCAACUCCCAGUGCUGUGAAGGGGAGUGCUGAAGUGCAGAGGCCUCAAGAAAAGCAGCGUGUGUGCAGUUGUUUGAGUUUGGGGUGGUGGUGUUGUUUAAUAUGUAUAGGUAUUUGUAUUAUGUCUUUAUUAUGGCAGUUGGGUUUAUUUUGGGGUUUUAUAUGGUGUGAGGAAUAGGUCUCUCCCCCUUUUGUGUGUUUGUAGCUAGCAUAUAUAUAUAUA